rnacentral:lncRNA from 1 species
GGAUCCUUCCAACACAUUCAAACAUCAUAUAUAUAUAUAUAUAUAUAGAAAUCUCAUCAGCUCAGCUUCAAAGCCUACCAAAUCACCAUAAACAACAUAUUACUAUCUUGAUGAUCUCUUAUUCCACUCACCUUGCAGCAUAAAAAAUAUCAUUCACAUCCUUUAACUCGGCUUACAUCAUGACUAUCAAGAGCCGUUUAAAAAUAGUAGCUGCUGUUGUUCUAGCCCUUCUGCUAAUUCCUAGUUCAGAAUCCAAUGUCGCACAUGCAGCGCGGUUGCUCUCCAGUAAAGAGCAUCGGUACCAAAAGACUUCAACAUCACAAACACUCAAGGGUCUGCAUACAAAUCAGAAGAAACCAUUCAAGAAAGUUGAUUCAAGCUUUAGGAGAAUUCCUCCAAGCAGAUGGAAUCCUAUACAAAACAAGUAAUUUCUGAAUCUAAGUGUAGCAUCACUUACCUCUAUAAGCAGUUUUCUCAAAUAUCACAUUCUUGUACCAGGUUCACGCCUCCAUAGGAUGACUAAGAGAAGCAUCACCUCAGCAAAGAACAGCGCCUCCAGUGCAAUUCAUUCAUUCAAUAUCAGUGUAGCUUGAUAGUACAAAGUUAGUUUCCGCUAUCCAGUUAAGAGAGUCACUUGCAGCAGAAAAACAGGAUCCAAUUUUGUUCCUUGGUAGCUAUGAAAUUUGUUGCUAG